UACGUAGGGUGCGAGCGUUGUCCGGAAUUAUUGGGCGUAAAGAGCUCGUAGGCGGUCUGUCGCGUCGAUCGUGAAAACUUGGGGCUUAACCCUGAGCUUGCGGUCGAUACGGGCAUGACUGGAGUUCGGCAGGGGAGACUGGAAUUCCAGGUGUAGCGGUGAAAUGCGUAGAUAUCUGGAGGAACACCGGUGGCGAAGGCGGCAUCCUGGACCGAAAUUGACGCUGAGGCGCGAAAGCCAGGGGAGCAAACGGG
rnacentral:rRNA from 1 species